CAGGAUGUCGCUAUGGGAUCACCAGGAUGUCACCAUGGCAGUACCAGGAGCUCAUUAUGGGAUCACCAGGAUGUCCACAUGGGAUCACCAGGAUGUCCCCAUGGGAUCUCCAGGAUGUCACCAUGACAGCACCAAGAUAUGACCAUGGGAUCACCAGGAUGUCACCAUGGGAUCACCUGAAUGUCACCAUGGGGUCACCAGGAUGUCACCAUGGGAUCACCUGAAUGUCACCACGGGAUCAGCAGGAUGUCACUAUGGGAUCAGCGGGCUGUCCGUAUGGGAUCACCUGAACGUCCCCAUGGGAUCACCAGGAUGUCACCAUGGGAUCACCAGGAGGUCACCAUGGGAUCAGCAGGAUGUCACCACAGGAUCACAAGGAUGUCACCAUGGGAUCAGCAGGAUCUCACUAUGGGAUCAGUAGGCUGUCCGUAUGGGAUCAGAAGGCUGUCCGUGUGGGAUCAGUGGGCUGUCUGUAUGGGAUGAGGCGGCUGUCCAUAUGGAAUCAGUGGGCUGUCUGUAUGGGAUCAGUAGGAUCUCACUAUGGGACCACCAGGCUGUCUGUAUGGGAUCAGCAGGCUGUCCCUAUGGGAUCAGUAGGCUGUCUGUAUGGGAUCAGAAGGCUGUCCGUGUGGGAUCAGUGGGCUGUCUGUAUGGGAUCAGUGGGCUGUCUGUAUGGGAUCAGCAGACUGUCCCUAUGGGAUCAGUAGGCUGUCCAUAUGGGAUCAGAAGGCUGUCCGUGUGGGAUCAGUGGGCUGUCUGUAUGGGAUCAGCAGGCUGUUCCUAUGGGAUCAGCAGGAUCUCACUAUGGGAUCAGUGGGCUGUCUGUAUGGGAUCAGAAGGCUGUCCGUGUGGGAUCAGUGGGCUGUCUGUAUGGGAUCAGCAGGCUGUUCCUAUGGGAUCAGUAGGAUCUCUCUAUGGGAUCAGCAGGAUCUCACUAUGGGAUCAGCAGCUGUCCGUAUGGGAUCAGUGGGCUGCCCGUAUGGGAUCAGCAGGCUGUCACUAUGGGAUCACUGCAACGUCACCAUGGGAUCAGUGGGCUGUCUGUAUGGGAACACCAGGAUGUCCCUAUGGGAUCACCAAGCUGUCCCUAUGAGAUCAGCAGGAUGUCACUAUGGGAUCACCGUAAUGUCACCACGGCAUCACCAGGCUGUCCCUAUGGGAUCAGCAGGCUGUCACUAUGGGAUCAGCAGGCUGUCUGUAUGGGAUCAGCAGACUGUCCCUAUGGGAUCUGUAGGCUGUCUGUAUGGG
rnacentral:lncRNA from 1 species